CCCCCGCUAUAUAUACGAGCGAGCAAUAGUAGUCGUGCACGGUGCAUUGGUCUCUCGGAAUCAACUGGUUAUUAAUAGGUCGUAUUUACUAUCAGUUGCCGUAACAGCAUUCCUUACUUGAAAAGCAAGGAUCCCGAACGACGCCCGCGUGUCGUACGGCCAAAACUUCGAUACGGUGGUAGGUACACCGGUUGACCGCGGUCUACCGACGAUUAUCGUUCUUCAACCGAUCUCCGUCUCUACUCCCUUCCUCAAAUAAACAACUCGGGAUCGAACUGGAAGGUGGAGAGCUGUGAGGUGGGGUGUUCCAAGGCUAUCGCCAAGACGAUUGUUCCCUCCCUCAUCCCUGUUAUCGGAGUACUUCGAUGGAUUAUGGGUGGCAUGCACCGACGAUUCACAGCGUACCUACGUCUUUUUUUCCAAGAACCAACGAAUUUACCAACCGUCUCGCCCGAGCGGGAAUGUAUCGCAAUUGUUCCCUCAACACGGAAUUGGACAAGUCAUUUUUCUGAAAGGA
rnacentral:misc_RNA from 1 species